rnacentral:rRNA from 1 species
CAGCCGCCGCGGGAAUACGUAUGUCGCGAGCGUUAUCCGGAAUUAUUGGGCAUAAAGGGCAUCUAGGCGGCCUAACAAGUCAGGGGUGAAAACCUGCGGCUCAACCGCAGGCCUGCCUUUGAAACUGUAAGGCUGGAGUACCGGAGAGGUGGACGGAACUGCACGAGUAGAGGUGAAAUUCGUAGAUAUGUGCAGGAAUGCCGAUGAUGAAGAUAGUCCACUGGACGGAAACUGACGCUGAAGUGCGAAAGCCGGGGGAGCGAACAGGAUUAGAUACCCCGGUAGUCCCUGUCUCUUAUAC